UGAGUAACCUGCCCCAGACUCUGGAAUAACCCCGGGAAACCGGAGCUAAUACCGGAUACGAGACGAAGCUGCAUGGCUAUCGUCUGGAAAGUUUUUCGGUCUGGGAUGGACUCGCGACCUAUCAGCUUGUUGGUGAGGUAAUGGCUCACCAAGGCGUCGACGGGUAGCCGGCCUGAGAGGGUGACCGGCCACACUGGGACUGAGACACGGCCCAGACUCCUACGGGAGGCAG
rnacentral:rRNA from 1 species